UACGUAGGUGACAAGCGUUGUCCGGAUUUACUGGGCGUAAAGAGCGCGCAGGCGGUCGUUCAAGUCGAGUGUGAAAGCCCCCGGCUCAACUGGGGAGGGUCAUUCGAUACUGAUCGACUCGAAGGCAGGAGAGGGAAGUGGAAUUCCCGGUGUAGUGGUGAAAUGCGUAGAUAUCGGGAGGAACACCAGUGGCGAAGGCGACUUCCUGGCCUGUUCUUGACGCUGAGGCGCGAAAGCGUGGGGGAGCAAACAGG
rnacentral:rRNA from 1 species